AGCUAGAGUUGAUCCUGGCUCAGGAUGAACGCUGGCGGCGUGCCUAACACAUGCAAGUCGAACGAAGCACUUUUACGGAGAUUCGUCGAAGGUGAAUUUGACUUUAGUGGCGACGGGUGAGUAAUGUAUGAGCAACCUGCCUUUCAGAGGGGGACAACAGUUGGAAACGACUGCUAAUACCGCAUAAUGUAUUUUGGGGGCAUCCCCGGGAUACCAAAAGGAGCAAUCCGCUGAAAGAUGGGCUCAUAUCUGAUUAGUUAGUUGGUGGGGUAACGGCCUACCAAGACUGCGAUCAGUAGCCGGACUGAGAGGUUGAACGGCCACAUUGGGACUGAGAUACGGCCCAGACUCCUACGGGAGGCAGCAGUGGGGAAUAUUGGGCAAUGGGCGAAAGCCUGACCCAGCAACGCCGCGUGAAGGAAGAAGGUCUUCGGAUUGUAAACUUCUUUUAUGAGGGACGAAGGACGUGACGGUACCUCAUGAAUAAGCCACGGCUAACUACGUGCC
rnacentral:rRNA from 1 species